rnacentral:rRNA from 1 species
AUUGAACGCUGGCGGCAUGCCUUACACAUGCAAGUCGAACGGUAACGGGCCUUCGGGUGCCGACGAGUGGCGAACGGGUGAGUAAUACAUCGGAACGUGCCCGAUCGUGGGGGAUAACGAGGCGAAAGCUUUGCUAAUACCGCAUACGAUCUACGGAUGAAAGCAGGGGACCGCAAGGCCUUGCGCGGACGGAGCGGCCGAUGGCAGAUUAGGUAGUUGGUGGGAUAAAAGCUUACCAAGCCGACGAUCUGUAGCUGGUCUGAGAGGAUGAUCAGCCACACUGGGACUGAGAUACGGCCCAGACUCCUACGGGAGGCAGCAGUGGGGAAUUUUGGACAAUGGGCGCAAGCCUGAUCCAGCCAUGCCGCGUGCAGGAUGAAGGCCUUCGGGUUGUAAACUGCUUUUGUACGGAACGAAAAGCCUUCUUUUAAUACAGGAGGGUCAUGACGGUACCGUAAGAAUAAGCACCGGCUAACUACGUG